GAGACGCCUCUCCAUUCCCCACCACAACCCCGCCUCCCCCAACCCAAGCAGAGAUUAGAGCUCUUUGUAUGUGCGGGCGGCCAUGGCCGGUAACGGGAGCCCAGUGCUGAGCCUGGAAGAUACGCUCGCCUCCUGCCCCGUGUGCAUGGAAUAUUUCAUAGAUGCCAGCUGCGGGCACAACAUCUGCCCGCGGGCCUGCAACCCAGACCCCCUGGAGGAGCCGGAGUGGAGCCCUUGCUGUCCUAGAUGCCAGAAGCCCGUCCUGCAUGUGUCAUGUGCCACAUACUGGAAACAGACGGAAGAUGAGAAACAGAGGAUCCUCUGCGAAUGGAAGGAUCUACGUGGGUUUCUGGAGAAGCAGGAGCAGGUGCUGCUGUCCCAGGUAGAAAAGCUGGACAGAGCCAUUGUCAAGAGAAGGGACAAGAGCAUCUCUGAGCUGUCCCAGGAGAUUUCUCUGCUAAGUGAGCUGCUCAAUCAGAGGGGAGGAGAGAACGGGCAGGAGCCACUGAGCCAGUCCAUACAGGGUGUGGGCAGCUCUGAGAACAGCAGGAAGAACAGGGUGCUGCAGAAGCCAGAGUCUGGGUUUGUGGAGCUGGAGAAGAGACUUGGGGAUUUCUCUCAGAGAAGUACCACCCUGCUGGAGCUGCUGCAGGGAUUCAAAGGUAAAUGGGAGAUUCAUGGUGGCAUCUCCUUUGGUUAGAGUAACGGUCAC
rnacentral:lncRNA from 1 species